rnacentral:lncRNA from 1 species
AAUUUAUUGAAUGAAAAUAUCAUUGUAUGCGCCAACAAUGUCAUCACUCCUCCUUUUGGCAUGGGAGGAGGGUUUUUGAACACAAUGAACAUUACUUUGACUUAUGGAUAACUGUGGGAAUAUCCACAGCGACCCAAUUGUUGCAGACCCCGCCAGGGAUGACGAAGUUGCCAGAAUCCUCUGCAUCCUCUUCCAAAAUGGCAGCAGCCUCCUCAUCUUGACCAGUGUGGAUGAAACCUCCACUCUUGAAAAUCCCUUGCGAA